rnacentral:rRNA from 1 species
AAUGAACGCUGGCGGCGUGCUUAACACAUGCAAGUCGAACGAGAAAGCCGAAAGCUUGCUUUUGGCGAGUAAAGUGGCGCACGGGUGAGUAACGCGUGGGUAAUCUACCUCCGAAUUUGGGAUAACACUUCGAAAGGGGUGCUAAUACCGGAUAACAUCCAUUAUACUUUGGUGUGAUGGAUCAAAGAUAGCCGCUUCGUGAAAGCUAUUGUUUGGAGAUGAGCCCGCGUCCCAUUAGCUAGUUGGUAGGGUAACGGCCUACCAAGGCAUCGAUGGGUAGCUGGUCUGAGAGGAUGGCCAGCCACACUGGAACUGGAACACGGUCCAGACUCCUACGGGAGGCAGCAGUGAGGAAUUUUGCGCAAUGGGGGCAACCCUGACGCAGCAACGCCGCGUGAGUGAUGAAGGCUUUCGGGUCGUAAAGCUCUGUCAAGUGGGAAGAACCUGUUUAUUGUUAAUAGCGAUAAGCACUGACGGUACCACUGAAGGAAGCACCGGCUAACUCCGUG